UCUUGUUUGUGCACUUCAGGGAAUCUAUCCACCCU
rnacentral:sRNA from 1 species